rnacentral:lncRNA from 1 species
AGAAGGUUAAUGUGUAACAGUCAGUCACAAAAAUGGUCAAAAUGCUUCCUCCUUUACGCUUUCUCAGCUGUGCUGGAACUGCCGCAAGGACUGGAAGCUUCCUGAAGCCUUCACCAGAAGCAGAUGCUGGCCCCAUGCUUCUUGUACAGCCUGCAGAACUGUGAGCCAAAUAAGCCUCUUUUCUUUAUAAAUUACCUGGUCUCAGGUAUCCCUUUAAAGCAAUGCAAAUGGGCUAUGACAAUAGGAUUUGAGACACCACAGGUGCUCAAUGUUUACUAAUGAAUAAUUGUAAUGCUGGAGAAGAUAACUUAGUAUUUGGUCACAAUUUAAAUUCUUUAUAGCAAAAAGUGUGAAGAAAGAAAAAUAGGAAAUACCACUCUAUGAAAAUAAAAAAUUAGUAGAGGAGGCCAUUUACUUGAUGCUGAGUAUGCAUCCAGCCCUGUGCACACACGACCUCAGUUCAUCUUCACAACAGCCCCACAAGGUGGGCUGCUUCAUCACGACGUCACAGAGGAGAGCCU